UACAGAGGUCUCAAGCGUUGUUCGGAUUCAUUGGGCGUAAAGGGUGCGUAGGUGGCGGGGUAAGUCAGGUGUGAAAUCUCGGGGCUCAACCCCGAAACUGCACUUGAUACUGCCUUGCUCGAGUACUGGAGAGGAGAUUGGAAUUUACGGUGUAGCAGUGAAAUGCGUAGAUAUCGUAAGGAAGACCAGUGGCGAAGGCGGCAUCCUGGACCGGCAUUGACGCUGAUGAGCGAAAGCUAGGGGAGCAAACGGG
rnacentral:rRNA from 1 species